CAGCAGCCGCGGUAAUACCGAGGGUGCGAGCGUUAAUCGGAUUUACUGGGCGUAAAGCGUGCGUAGGCGGCUUCUUAAGUCGGAUGUGAAAUCCCUGAGCUUAACUUAGGAAUUGCAUUCGAUACUGGGAAGCUAGAGUAUGGGAGAGGAUGGUAGAAUUCCAGGUGUAGCGGUGAAAUGCGUAGAGAUCUGGAGGAAUACCGAUGGCGAAGGCAGCCAUCUGGCCUAAUACUGACGCUGAGGUACGAAAGCAUGGGGAGCAAACAGGAUUAGAUACCCGUGUAGUCACUGUCUCUUAUAC
rnacentral:rRNA from 1 species